ACGCUCGACACCUACGCGAGGCAGCAGUGGGGAAUAUUGCACAAUGGGGGAAACCCUGAUGCAGCAACGCCGCGUGAAGGAAGACGGUUUUCGGAUUGUAAACUUCUGUUCUUAGUGAAGAUAGUGACGGUAGCUAAGGAGCAAGCCACGGCUAACUACGUGCCAGCAGCCGCGGUAAUCUGAGGCGGGCUGGCAAGGC
rnacentral:rRNA from 1 species